UGAGCCAUUUCUGCUAGAUGGGCCAGCUGCAAAGUCAAAAUUGGCUACAUUCAUAAAAACAAAUGUGCUUUUUUUAGUCUUAAUUUAAAGUUAGGGUUCAAAUCUGAUUUUGUGGCUAUGCCAGAUAGUGACCACUGUGCAGAUUUGCCUCCAGAACAAGAUUCAUGGUGAAAAACGCCAACCUUACCCCAUCUAGCAGAAAUGGCUCAGUUCUGCCUCCAGAACAAGAUUCAUGGUGAAAAACGCCAACCUUACCCUAUCUAGCAGAAAUGGCUCAGUUCUGCCUCCAGAACAAGAUUCAUGGCAAACUUCAACCUGUUGAAAGGUACUGGAAUUUUGCAGCCCCUAGGUCCUCUGGUUGAACUGAUGGGGUCAAUCAGCCUGAAGGCUCAAUACCCUUCUGAACUCUGAUAUGGGUAUUGAUUGAUUGAUACUGAUGACUACUGGCUUUUUAGCAUUUUCCCCAUAAGACAUACUUCCAAUCCAACCAAUGACCAGCCCUUUAUCUCCCAGUGAAUGAUCUGUGAGCGGAGGAACUGUGUAGCUAGCUGAUCUAGAAACUCUACUGUCUGUUUUCACGUCUUAGUGAAAACACGUCUUAGUCUCUCUCUCUCUCUCGUCCUCCACCUACAUUCAUUAGUCUCUCUCUCUCUCUCUCUCUCGUCCUCCACCUACAUUCAUUAGUCUCUCUCUCUCUCUAUUGUCCUCCACUACAUUCAUUAGUCUCUCUCUCUCUCUAUCGUCCUCCACUACAUUCAUUACUCUCUCUCUCUCUCUCUCUCUAUUGUCCUCCACUACAUUCAUUAGUCUCUCUCUAUCGUCCCCCACUACUUGUGUCCAGUGAAGGUGAAAAUGUAAACGUUGGUUGAGUUGUUUUGAGUACAGUACUACAUUACCCACAAUUCCCUCCAUGGAAAUUAUUUUUUCACUUGGGUUGCACAUUUCUGGUAACUUUCCUAAAAAAAAAUCCAUCCCUGAUUUGUCUAGAAAUCUUAGUUAAAAAGGUUUCAGGAAUCAAGAUGUGUAGGAAAAAACAGGAAAUCCUCCAACCGGGAUUUCUGGGAAUUUGGGGAAAUGUGCUGUACAUUUGCAACCUUAGUCUCCCCUGUAUUUGAUAUUUGGUUAUAUAUAUAUUUGAUCUAUUUUAGGGAAGAACACAACUACAACUACAUUCCAAUAGGCCUCAU
rnacentral:lncRNA from 13 species